AGAGUUUGAUCCUGGCUCAGGAUGAACGCUGGCGGCGUGCUUAACACAUGCAAGUCGAACGAACCUUCGGGUUAGUGGCGGACGGGUGAGUAACGCGUGGGAAUCUGCCCUCAGGAGGGGGAUAACGGCUGGAAACGGCCGCUAAUACCCCAUAUGCCGAGAGGUGAAAUGAAUUUCGCCUGAGGAUGAGCCCGCGUCUGAUUAGCUUGUUGGUGAGGUAAUGGCUCACCAAGGCUUCGAUCAGUAGCUGGUCUGAGAGGAUGAUCAGCCACACUGGGACUGAGACACGGCCCAGACUCCUACGGGAGGCAGCAGUGGGGAAUUUUCCGCAAUGGGCGAAAGCCUGACGGAGCAACGCCGCGUGAGGGAUGAAGGCCUCUGGGCUGUAAACCUCUUUUCUCAAGGAAGAAGAUCUGACGGUACUUGAGGAAUAAGCCACGGCUAAUUCCGUGCCAGCAGCCGCGGUAAUACGGGAGUGGCAAGCGUUAUCCGGAAUUAUUGGGCGUAAAGCGUCCGCAGGCGGCCUUUCAAGUCUGCUGUUAAAACGUGGAGCUUAACUCCAUCAGGGCAGUGGAAACUGUUGGGCUUGAGUGUGGUAGGGGCAGAGGGAAUUCCCGGUGUAGCGGUGAAAUGCGUAGAUAUCGGGAAGAACACCAGUGGCGAAGGCGCUCUGCUGGGCCAUAACUGACGCUCAUGGACGAAAGCCAGGGGAGCGAAAGGGAUUAGAUACCCCUGUAGUCCUGGCCGUAAACGAUGAACACUAGGUGUCGGGGGAAUCGACCCCCUCGGUGUCGUAGCCAACGCGUUAAGUGUUCCGCCUGGGGAGUACGCACGCAAGUGUGAAACUCAAAGGAAUUGACGGGGGCCCGCACAAGCGGUGGAGUAUGUGGUUUAAUUCGAUGCAACGCGAAGAACCUUACCAGGGUUUGACAUCCUGUGAACCUCUAAGAAAUUGGAGGGUGCCUUCGGGAACACAGUGACAGGUGGUGCAUGGCUGUCGUCAGCUCGUGUCGUGAGAUGUUGGGUUAAGUCCCGCAACGAGCGCAACCCACGUUUUUAGUUGCCAGCAUUUAGUUGGGCACUCUAGAGAGACCGCCGGUGAUAAACCGGAGGAAGGUGUGGACGACGUCAAGUCAUCAUGCCCCUUACAUCCUGGGCUACACACGUACUACAAUGCUACGGACAAAGGGCAGCUAACUCGCGAGGGCAAGCAAAUCCCAUAAACCGUGGCUCAGUUCAGAUCGUAGGCUGCAACUCGCCUACGUGAAGCAGGAAUCGCUAGUAAUCGCAGGUCAGCAUACUGCGGUGAAUACGUUCCCGGGCCUUGUACACACCGCCCGUCACACCAUGGAAGUUGGCCAUGCCCGAAGUCGUUACUCCAACCCUUGUGGAGGAGGACGCCGAAGGUGGGGCUAAUGACUGGGGUGAAGUCGUAACAAGGUAGCCGUACCGGAAGGUGCGGCUG
rnacentral:rRNA from 1 species